rnacentral:rRNA from 1 species
AACGAACGCUGGCGGCAGGCUUAACACAUGCAAGUCGAACGCCCCGCAAGGGGAGUGGCAGACGGGUGAGUAACGCGUGGGAAUCUACCUAGUUCUACGGAACAACACAGGGAAACUUGUGCUAAUACCGUAUACGCCCUACGGGGGAAAGAUUUAUCGGAAUUAGAUGAGCCCGCGUAAGAUUAGUUAGUUGGUGGGGUAAUGGCCUACCAAGGCGACGAUCUUUAGCUGGUCUGAGAGGAUGAUCAGCCACACUGGGACUGAGACACGGCCCAGACUCCUACGGGAGGCAGCAGUGGGGAAUAUUGGACAAUGGGCGCAAGCCUGAUCCAGCCAUGCCGCGUGAGUGAUGAAGGCCUUAGGGUUGUAAAGCUCUUUCAGUGGGGAAGAUAAUGACGGUACCCACAGAAGAAGCCCCGGCUAACUUCGUGCCAGCAGCCGCCGUAAAAC